ACCGGUUCAGCUCUACCCCCCGGGGCUGAACUGGUGACGACCCCCGUCCCUCCCCCUGGCGGGGGUCGUCUCAU
rfam:Saccharopolyspora rectivirgula strain DSM 43113 contig00038, whole genome shotgun sequence.